GGCAGCAGUGAGGAAUAUUGGUCAAUGGAGGCAACUCUGAACCAGCCAUGCCGCGUGAAGGAUGAAGGCGUUCUGCGUUGUAAACUUCUUUUGCGGGGGAAGAAACCUGGGAUUUCUAUUCCAGCCGACGGUACCCCGAGAAUAAGCACCGGCUAACUCCGUGCCAGCAGCCGCGGUAAUACGGAGGGUGCAAGCGUUGUUCGGAUUUACUGGGCGUAAAGGGCGCGUAGGCGGCGCAACAAGUCACUUGUGAAAUCUCUGGGCUCAACCCAGAGCGGCCAAGUGAUACUGUCGUGCUAGAGUGCGGAAGGGGCAACUGGAAUUCUCGGUGUAGCGGUGAAAUGCGUAGAUAUCGAGAGGAACACCUGCGGCGAAGGCGGGUUGCUGGGCCGACACUGACGCUGAGGCGCGAAAGCUAGGGGAGCGAACGGGAUUAGAUACCCCGGUAGUCCUAGCCUUAAACGAUGGAUGCUUGGUGUCCGGGGUUUAUAAGCCCCCGGGUGCCGGCGCUAACGCAUUAAGCAUCCCGCCUGGGGAGUACGGUCGCAAGACUGAAACUCAAAGGAAU
rnacentral:rRNA from 1 species